rnacentral:rRNA from 1 species
GACGAACGCUGGCGGCGUGCUUAACACAUGCAAGUCGAACGGAAAGGCCCUGCUUGCAGGGUCCUCGAGUGGCGAACGGGUGAGUAACACGUGGGUGAUCUGCCCUGCACUUCGGGAUAAGCCUGGGAAACUGGGUCUAAUACCGGAUAGGAGCCAUUUUUAGUGUGAUGGUUGGAAAGUCUUUUCGGUGUAGGAUGAGCUCGCGGCCUAUCAGCUUGUUGGUGGGGUAAUGGCCUACCAAGGCGGCGACGGGUAGCCGGCCUGAGAGGGUGGACGGCCACAUUGGGACUGAGAUACGGCCCAGAGUCCUACGGGAGGCAGCAGUGGGAAAUAUUGCACAAUGGGCGCAAGCCUGAUGCAGCGACGCCGCGAGGGGGAAGACGGCCUUCGGGUUAUAAACUCCUUUCGCUAGGGACGAAGGUUUUGUGACGGUACCUAGAGAAGAAGCACCGGCUAACUACGUA